CUUUUCUUUUUCUUGUCUCUCACUUCCUUUCCAAGAAAACCUCUUUACAAUAAUUAAAAGCUGUUUCUCUUCUCACCAACUCACCAAACUCGGGCAAACUCAGUCGUUCUCAAUUCUCGUUGACAGACAGCCAACUCUUCUUCAUCUGCUUCUUCUUUUUUUGGUCUCAAAACACGUGAGAUCUACUCCUUCCGCUUCAACUCACUCCCCGUCAACCCAGUCAACUUUCUCUUCUUCACUCACAUUGUAAAUAUUUGUUGUUCCCCCCCCCCUUUUUCUUCCUCAAAAUUUCCGUCUCAUAUUUCAACUCAUUCGACUAAGGACUCACUGCUAUUUGUGCAAGUAAUUUCUUUAAGGAGUCGAGAUCGGUUAGCUUGUGGUCUUCCAACUCUGUUCCGAUCUCUCGUUUCAACCUACUCCAAGAUCGGUUGAAAUCGCGAUCCAUGAACUCGGUUUUUAGACUCAGUCCGAGUUCUGGGUAGAUUGAGGAUCGAGUCGAGUUGUGGUUGACUCUAUGUAGAGCUAUCCCUUCAGAAUUAGGGUUUUUGGAAGAUUUUUUUUUCGAAGUAUGGCAGCUGUGCGAAGGUGGAGUGAGGGCAUGGCCUCAGAUAAUGUUAAGGGUUUGGUUUUAGCGCUUUCUUCCAGUUUAUUUAUUGGAGCAAGUUUCAUUGUUAAGAAAAAAGGCUUGAAGAAAGCUGGUGCUUCUGGUAUCAGGGCAGGCAGUGGAGGUUAUUCUUACUUGUUGGAGCCACUUUGGUGGGUAGGCAUGAUAACAAUGGUUGUUGGGGAAAUUGCUAAUUUUGCAGCUUAUGCAUUUGCACCUGCUAUACUGGUUACUCCUCUUGGUGCCCUCAGUAUAAUUAUCAGUGCGGCCCUAGCACAUAUAAUUUUACGGGAAAAAUUACAUACUUUUGGGAUUCUUGGUUGUGUUUUAUGUGUCGUGGGAUCUACAGCAAUCGUUUUGCAUGCUCCCCCAGAACGUCAGAUUGAAUCUGUAACGGAAGUUUGGGAUCUUGCUACAGAGCCAGGGUUCCUAUUUUACGCAUUAUUGGUCUUAACAGCUGUCUUUAUACUUAUAUUCCACUUUGUUCCACAAUAUGGACAGUCACACAUUAUGGUUUACAUUGGAGUUUGCUCUCUUGUGGGUUCCAUUUCGGUCAUGAGUGUUAAAGCAGUUGGUAUAGCCUUGAAGUUAACUUUUUCAGGAAUGAAUCAGCUUGUAUAUCCACAAACAUGGGCCUUUACUUUAGUUGUGGUUACUUGUGUGGUUACUCAAAUGAAUUAUUUAAACAAGGCACUUGAUACUUUCAACACAGCUGUUGUUUCUCCCAUAUACUAUGUUAUGUUCACGACACUGACCAUUUUGGCGAGUGUAAUCAUGUUUAAGGAUUGGGACAGGCAAAACCCUACGCAGAUUAUAACAGAGAUGUGUGGAUUUGUGACUAUCCUUUCAGGAACUUUUCUUCUUCACAAAACCAAGGACAUGGUUGAUGGUACAAGUUUGACAUCUAUGUCAAUGCGACAAUUAAAGCACGAAGAAGAGGAUGACUUUGACGAAAGCAUCCCUCUUAAGCGGCAGGAUUCUUUGAGAAUACCUUGAUUGAAACAAAACUUUAGGUCAUCCUACAAAUCUCAGUAGAGCUUAUGGGGAGAAGCCUUAUUGAUGUCAAUGUGUAUUUUACGACCAAACUUAUUCAAUCACACUCAUAUUUUGGAGGGAGUUAUCCGAGGAGAGCAGACACUGAAGCACAAUGAGUGGAUUCAUAGUUGCAUUUCUCACAGCAAGAUUGGAGCAGCUCAAUUACUUUUUGGCACCUACAAUGCACAAACAUGGAUCCUUUCAUAACAAGUGGAAACAUGUAAUGGAAAACAAAUAUGUAGUAGUCCAACAUCAAGCAUAAACAAAAUCUCUGACCCGAACUUGAAACUUUGAAUCCGAAUUUGAUUCAAUUCGAUUUGAUCUUAAAACACUAAUUGAACUCGGAAAUGAUCGUGAA